GGUUAAGCGACUAAGCGUACACGGUGGAUGCCCUGGCAGUCAGAGGCGAUGAAGGGCGUGCUAAUCUGCGAUAAGCGCCGGUAAGGUGAUAUGAACCGUUAUAACCGGCGAUACCCGAAUGGGGAAACCCAGUGUGACUCGUCACACUAUCAUUAACUGAAUCCAUAGGUUAAUGAGGCGAACCGGGGGAACUGAAACAUCUAAGUACCCCGAGGAAAAGAAAUCAACCGAGAUUCCCCCAGUAGCGGCGAGCGAACGGGGAGGAGCCCAGAGCCUGAAUCAGCAUGUGUGUUAGUGGAAGCGUCUGGAAAGGCGCGCGAUACAGGGUGACAGCCCCGUACACAAAAGCGCAUAUGCUGUGAGCUCGAUGAGUAGGGCGGGACACGUGGUAUCCUGUCUGAAUAUGGGGGGACCAUCCUCCAAGGCUAAAUACUCCUGACUGACCGAUAGUGAACCAGUACCGUGAGGGAAAGGCGAAAAGAACCCCGGCGAGGGGAGUGAAAAAGAACCUGAAACCGUGUACGUACAAGCAGUGGGAGCACCCUUUGGGGUGUGACUGCGUACCUUUUGUAUAAUGGGUCAGCGACUUAUAUUCUGUAGCAAGGUUAACCGCAUAGGGGAGCCGGAGGGAAACCGAGUCUUAAUUGGGCGUUAAGUUGCAGGGUAUAGACCCGAAACCCGGUGAUCUAGCCAUGGGCAGGUUGAAGGUUGGGUAACACUAACUGGAGGACCGAACCGACUAAUGUUGAAAAAUUAGCGGAUGACCUGUGGCUGGGGGUGAAAGGCCAAUCAAACCGGGAGAUAGCUGGUUCUCCCCGAAAGCUAUUUAGGUAGCGCCUCGUGAAUUCAUCUCCGGGGGUAGAGCACUGUUUCGGCUAGGGGGCCAUCCCGGCUUACCAACCCGAUGCAAACUGCGAAUACCGGAGAAUGUUAUCACGGGAGACACACGGCGGGUGCUAACGUCCGUCGUGAAGAGGGAAACAACCCAGACCGCCAGCUAAGGUCCCAAAGUCAUGGUUAAGUGGGAAACGAUGUGGGAAGGCCCAGACAGCCAGGAUGUUGGCUUAGAAGCAGCCAUCAUUUAAAGAAAGCGUAAUAGCUCACUGGUCGAGUCGGCCUGCGCGGAAGAUGUAACGGGGCUAAACCAUGCACCGAAGCUGCGGCAGCGACACUGUGUGUUGUUGGGUAGGGGAGCGUUCUGUAAGCCUGUGAAGGUGGCCUGUGAGGGUUGCUGGAGGUAUCAGAAGUGCGAAUGCUGACAUAAGUAACGAUAAAGCGGGUGAAAAGCCCGCUCGCCGGAAGACCAAGGGUUCCUGUCCAACGUUAAUCGGGGCAGGGUGAGUCGACCCCUAAGGCGAGGCCGAAAGGCGUAGUCGAUGGGAAACGGGUUAAUAUUCCCGUACUUGGUGUUACUGCGAAGGGGGGACGGAGAAGGCUAUGUUGGCCGGGCGACGGUUGUCCCGGUUUAAGCGUGUAGGUGUGUGUUCCAGGUAAAUCCGGUUCACUUUAACACUGAGGCGUGAUGACGAGGCACUACGGUGCUGAAGCAACAAAUGCCCUGCUUCCAGGAAAAGCCUCUAAGCAUCAGGUAACAUCAAAUCGUACCCCAAACCGACACAGGUGGUCAGGUAGAGAAUACCAAGGCGCUUGAGAGAACUCGGGUGAAGGAACUAGGCAAAAUGGUGCCGUAACUUCGGGAGAAGGCACGCUGACACGUAGGUGAAGUGAUUUACUCAUGGAGCUGAAGUCAGUCGAAGAUACCAGCUGGCUGCAACUGUUUAUUAAAAACACAGCACUGUGCAAACACGAAAGUGGACGUAUACGGUGUGACGCCUGCCCGGUGCCGGAAGGUUAAUUGAUGGGGUCAGCGCAAGCGAAGCUCCUGAUCGAAGCCCCGGUAAACGGCGGCCGUAACUAUAACGGUCCUAAGGUAGCGAAAUUCCUUGUCGGGUAAGUUCCGACCUGCACGAAUGGCGUAAUGAUGGCCAGGCUGUCUCCACCCGAGACUCAGUGAAAUUGAACUCGCUGUGAAGAUGCAGUGUACCCGCGGCAAGACGGAAAGACCCCGUGAACCUUUACUAUAGCUUGACACUGAACAUUGAGCCUUGAUGUGUAGGAUAGGUGGGAGGCUUUGAAGUGUGGACGCCAGUCUGCAUGGAGCCGACCUUGAAAUACCACCCUUUAAUGUUUGAUGUUCUAACGUGGACCCGUAAUCCGGGUUGCGGACAGUGUCUGGUGGGUAGUUUGACUGGGGCGGUCUCCUCCUAAAGAGUAACGGAGGAGCACGAAGGUUGGCUAAUCCUGGUCGGACAUCAGGAGGUUAGUGCAAUGGCAUAAGCCAGCUUGACUGCGAGCGUGACGGCGCGAGCAGGUGCGAAAGCAGGUCAUAGUGAUCCGGUGGUUCUGAAUGGAAGGGCCAUCGCUCAACGGAUAAAAGGUACUCCGGGGAUAACAGGCUGAUACCGCCCAAGAGUUCAUAUCGACGGCGGUGUUUGGCACCUCGAUGUCGGCUCAUCACAUCCUGGGGCUGAAGUAGGUCCCAAGGGUAUGGCUGUUCGCCAUUUAAAGUGGUACGCGAGCUGGGUUUAGAACGUCGUGAGACAGUUCGGUCCCUAUCUGCCGUGGGCGCUGGAGAACUGAGGGGGGCUGCUCCUAGUACGAGAGGACCGGAGUGGACGCAUCACUGGUGUUCGGGUUGUCAUGCCAAUGGCACUGCCCGGUAGCUAAAUGCGGAAGAGAUAAGUGCUGAAAGCAUCUAAGCACGAAACUUGCCCCGAGAUGAGUUCUCCCUGAGACUUAAAGUCUCCUGAAGGAACGUUGAAGACGACGACGUUGAUAGGCCGGGUGUGUAAGCGCAGCGAUGCGUUGAGCUAACCGGUACUAAUGAACCGUGAGGCUUAACCUU
rnacentral:rRNA from 1 species